rnacentral:rRNA from 1 species
UACGUAGGGGGCAAGCGUUGUCCGGAAUUAUUGGGCGUAAAGAGCUCGUAGGCGGUUUGUCGCGUCUGCCGUGAAAGUCCGGGGCUCAACUCCGGAUCUGCGGUGGGUACGGGCAGACUAGAGUGAUGUAGGGGAGACUGGAAUUCCUGGUGUAGCGGUGAAAUGCGCAGAGUAUCAGGAGGAACACCGAUGGCGAAGGCAGGUCUCUGGGCAUUAACUGACGCUGAGGAGCGAAAGCAUGGGGAGCGAACAGG